CGGGAGGCUACGCCGUAAAACAACCCCAUUUCUAAGGUUGACCUCGGAUCAGGUAGGGAUACCCGCUGAACUUAAGCAUAUCAAUAAC
rnacentral:rRNA from 1 species